rnacentral:rRNA from 1 species
GGGAACGUGCCCUUCUCUAAGGAAUAGCCACUGGAAACGGUGAGUAAUACCUUAUACGCCCUUCGGGGGAAAGAUUUAUCGGAGAAGGAUCGGCCCGCGUUAGAUUAGAUAGUUGGUGGGGUAACGGCCUACCAAGUCUACGAUCUAUAGCUGGUUUUAGAGGAUGAUCAGCAACACUGGGACUGAGACACGGCCCAGACUCCUACGGGAGGCAGCAGUGGGGAAUCUUGGACAAUGGGGGCAACCCUGAUCCAGCCAUGCCGCGUGAGUGAUGAAGGCCUUAGGGUCGUAAAGCUCUUUCGCCUGUGAUGAUAAUGACAGUAGCAGGUAAAGAAACCCCGGCUAACUCCGUGCCAGCAGCCGCGGUAAUACGGAGGGGGUUAGCGUUGUUCGGAAUUACUGGGCGUAAAGCGCGCGUAGGCGGGCCAGAAAGUUGGGGGUGAAAUCCCGGGGCUCAACCCCGGAACUGCCUCCAAAACUCCUGGUCUUGAGUUCGAGAGAGGUGAGUGGAAUUCCGAGUGUAGAGGUGAAAUUCGUAGAUAUUCGGAGG